GUAUGUGGAAAAUGGGAACUGUGGCAUUAACUUGUGGUCACUUUUCUUUGUAUAUACUUUAUGAAGCCAGACUGCCUACUGCGGUGAUACCCAGCUCUGAGCCUGGCUGUGCUAGGGGCAAGACUUGCCUUUGGUGUGUCUGUCUACAGCCAGACCCUGUACAGUCCAGAUGCUUCCCACAUGUGCCUUCCUCCUCCACUGUGCAUUCAUAGUCUCCCCCCAGCCUUCAAUCCUGUUUUAAAAGCAUAGACUUAAUUCUUAAAAUCCUAAAGUUUUUAGCAUUUAAUUUGGGAAGUUGAACUCCUACAAUUCUAAAAUUCUUAUAAGAGACAAAGGUGGACAGACCAGCUGCUGUUUUCUCCUGACAGAGAUGGGUGGCCAUCCUUACUAAAGUGUGCACACCAAUGUAAGGGCUAUUGUCUUAUCACCUUAGCUGCUGAGCCUGCAGAUUUAUGAUGAAAGCCCAGUUGAUCACCAUAAUAUAAAAGGAGCUUAUUAAAAUUCACCUUGAGCUCCCCAGUGAUUAUAUCUGAUAGUGCGCAUGCUUGUUUACUGAUAAAGUUGCUGAGCUGUUCAUUUCAUGUAUGACGGUUUCCAAAAAAAGUGGUGGUGUUUGUCUUGAUAGACCUGUAAAAGUUUCAGGGCUAUUUUGUCCCAUCCGUGACAUGCUGAAAUGCCACUUCCAUUUUAACUGAGUGGGGGUAAUUGCGUUUGUGGGAAGAGGGUUAUGAGAAUAUGCUGCGUGACUGUCUCUCCUGACUUGGACUCACAGGCCAGUCUGCUAUUGCUGACUGACCACUGUUUAACGUCCUACCAAGUGCUGGUUAAGCCACGAACUGUGUAUGAAAACAAAGUCCUAUGGUGAUGUCAGCUAUCAUAGGCUUCAUAUAGCAAGAGGAAAGUGACUUUGUUUGUGUAGAACAGUCUUGCUGAUGAAGAGUUCUGAUGCACACCCCAAGCCUGGAAGUUGGGGUGCUGCUCACGGCAGCUCCAGUGAAGUGAAGUGUGGGUCCUUCCUCUGAAUCGUGUCAGUCCUGGAGCUAGAGAUAAGUUGAUGUGGCGGUGCAGUUCUCAUGAACCAACUCACAGUGUGUUCCGGAACCUUCCAAGAGAAGCAGUAAAGUCAUCGUGUCAUCAAGUCGUAGCUUGGGACUACAUAAUUUUAGUGAUGAUGUCCACAGGGAAAAGUUUCAGAGAAUUUGAAAAUUGGUCUGUCCCUGAAGAGUGAGUGGCUCUACCCAGUGGUAGAUCCCAGCCCUAUACCUCACCACCAGGAAGAAGGGGAACACUCUUUACUCAGUUCCAGCUCAGAAGACCUUCCAGGAGAGACUGCUGAUGGACCUAGUGAAGAUCAUAGGUCCCCCUGUGGCUAGGGAGAUGGGCACUACGGAGAAGGGAUGCUGCUAUUCUAGCCUAAACAUCACAACCACCACCAGGGCCAACCCUUCACCCAGUCUACCAUCCUUUCCCCAAGAUGCCCCCACUUGCUUUAAGGUGUUUCCUGCACUGCAGCACCCUGCUCAGUAAGCACCACCCCAGAGCUCUGUCCAGCAGGUAUGCCCAGCUCUGAGUCCAGAUCACAGGUCAGGUGUGGCGCCAAAGAACUACAUAACCAUGGCCUCCAUGUCACUGAGUUGCCUCUGCCCACUGAGGGAGGGAGAGAACCUGCCAACAUAGGACAUACACACUGGAUGCAUCCCACCUGUCCUCCACACAAUAGGGGGGGUUUGCUUGCCAGGCUAGCAAGGCUCAGAGAUCCGUCUGUUUGUGGAUCUAUUUCCCUGAGAGUGGAUUGAGCCCCUUAGACCAUCUCCAUGUGGCGGUUCCUCCUGAUAACGUCUUCCUGAAAGGAUAUUGAAGGGCGUUUCUUGGCUGGGGUCUCUACCAUCUCAUUGUUCAUAUACCACCUCAUUUUUGUUCAUGCAGUUUUAGAGGGUCUUGGGGGUAUUGUGGGGGAGGAAAGACCCUUAAAGUUUUCCUUCAGCUUUCCAUAAGUGUAAGGCAGGGAGUGCAUUAUUUAACAUCUAAUUGACAUUGACUCUAGACUGGGUGGAUUCUGUUGCCUUCUGGGAGGAGAGGACUUGGAGGAGCUUGAAGGAGCUGCAGGUUCCCAACCAGCAGGGAUGCAGACCAGCCAAGAGAGGUGAGAGCUCCAUGCACUGUCAGGAAAUUGGUCUACCAUGGAGAUGAGGGCACUGGGAAGGUGCCGAUGCCCAUGUCCAAGAUCUUCUGGUUCAAGGAACACAGACCUGGCUCAAACAAAACUCUGAGGAAAGGGAGUCCACGGACCAGGUUCUCAAAUGUUCCCUGGAUUCUAUGUUCUCCUGUCUCUCCUGCUCUGCCAUCCAGCUGAGAGAAGGGUGCCCUUGCCUCCCUGGAAAUACCUGGAAUGGACAAAGGCCCUGAGCUGGGGUGACGUUCUGUCAUGGGCAGCCCUCACUGGAACCCCUGACUGGGUGCCCACCACACUUAGCUUCUAAUGCCAGCAGCUAGCCAUGCAAGGAUGUUGACUUAUCCAUGCUCCUGUAUCUCUAGGUUCUGAAUGCAUUCCUUUUUCCCUUCUGCACUCAUAGCAUGACCAGAACCCCAGGAUGUGACUUGUGGACCCCAGGAAACCACUCAGCUCUUGCCUUUUAUUAUCCUUGUUGCCACCAACAGAGUAAAUUUGUUUGGCACAGAUACACUACCAUUUUCCCAAUGCCAUGAGAACUGUUGAAUUUCACAAAGUACCAUUCACUCUAAGUCAUCAUUUAAGCCAUACUGGUUAUGUAUCACUCUGUGUGCUUUCUCAGGAGAUGAUGAAUGUCAUAUUGGACUGCUCAAAACUUUCAGAAAAAUGGGAGCCCCUUCUUUCUGAUUCUCAUGGAGCUGUCCAGUCAUUUUCUGCUGCAAGAUGACCAGGCCACACAAGGGAACUUUUCCUAAAUAGCAUAGCCUGUUUCCUAAAUAAAAGUUCUAAAGAAGAGGACACAUGGUGGUUUUCUUUCUUCUGAACAAUUUACAUGACACAGAAGCUGUGUAAGAUCAGGUCACCUGCAGUGGGGCCACAUGGAAGAAGAUGAAGGAUAAAAGAUGCAAGAAAUGAGAAUUUACUCAUAAUCAUCCUUCCCAAGCCCUUAGCUAAGAUUCUUCCUUCCUAAGAGCAGACUUUAGAAACAAUGACCUUGUUUCUUGGAGCUUCUGAUAGCUCCAUGUGUUGGCCAUUGUAGGCAGAUCUGUGAAGGGCUGGACAUGAUGACAUGUGACAUUCAGGUGACAGCCUGUCUGAGAGGCUUCCUUUUGCCUCCUCCAGGAAGCUUUGUGCAUUCUCAGCUUCAGUGCUAGGGUUAGCCUUGGGGAACCCUGGGCUUCCUGUGCCGGGCUCCAUUGAAAGCCAGAAAGGUGGUUAAACAUCGACUUUUGAG
ensembl:lncRNA